GGGCAGAUGGCCGAGCGGCCAAUGGCAUCAGACUGUAAAUCUGACGGGCUUAGCCCUACGGGGGUUCGAAUCCCUCUCUGCCCA
rnacentral:tRNA from 1 species